GAUGAACGCUGGCGGCGUGCCUAAUACAUGCAAGUCGAGCGAACAGACGAGGAGCUUGCUCCUCUGACGUUAGCGCCGGACGGGUGAGUAACACGUGGAUAACCUACCUAUAAGACUGGGAUACCUUCGGGAAACCGGAGCUAAUACCGGAUAAUAUAUUGAACCGCAUGGUUCAAUAGUGAAAGACGGUUUUGCUGUCACUUAUAGAUGGAUCCGCGCCGCAUUAGCUAGUUGGUAAGGUAACGGCUUACCAAGGCAACGAUGCGUAGCCGACCUGCGCGGGUGGUCGGCCACCACGGAAGUGAGACACGGUCCAGACUCCUACGGGAGGCAGCAGUAGGGAAUCUUACGCAAUGGGCGAAAGCCUGACGGAGCAACGCCGCGUGAGUGAUGAAGGUCUUCGGAUCGUAAAAAUCUGUUAUCAGGGAAGAACAAAUGUGUAAGUAACUAUGCACGUCUUGACGGUACCUAAUCAGAAAGCCACGGCUAACUACGUG
rnacentral:rRNA from 1 species